UUCACGAUAAGCUGGUUAUCGGGUUAUGUGGUUAUGUGAUUAAGUGAACAACAACAAAAUGCGGUAUGACAAAAUAACCAAAGUUGACCAACCUAGGCCCUUGUUUACAGAUUAUGUGGUUAUUUGCUUAUUUCCAGUGUUAGAAAGUCGUUGCAAUUUUACUAAAUGGCAGCACAAAAAAUAAAUAAAACUAAGCGAAUGGCAUUUCCAUUUAGAUUUUCUUAUUGGAAAAUCUGCUAUUAACAGCUGUUUUUUGUUUACAAUCGGCAAAUUAAAAUCAGAAUAAAAAGCAUCCAAAAGCAUCAACAUUAAUCAAAAAUCUGCAAAAAUCAACGAAAAUCAACAAAAAUCAUCAAAUGUCUACAGAAAUACGAAAGCGCCGGCGAGAAACGGAGGUGAAAAAAUGGACGGAAGCCGAAAUCAAAGCCGUGCUGUCCUAUAUGCAGGAUCACCGAAACGUCGAGAAACCAACAGCGGAAAUUUAUUAUAGUAAGUUGCUUGCAGUGACAAAAAUU